CGGGUGAAGGUGGCGGACGGGUGAGUAACGCGUAAAGAACUUGCCUUACAGACUGGGACAACAUUUGGAAACGAAUGCUAAUACCGGAUAUUAUGACUGAGUCGCAUGAUUUGGUUAUGAAAGCUAUAUGCGCUGUGAGAGAGCUUUGCGUCCCAUUAGUUAGUUGGUGAGGUAACGGCUCACCAAGACGAUGAUGGGUAGCCGGCCUGAGAGGGUGAACGGCCACAAGGGGACUGAGACACGGCCCUUACUCCUACGGGAGGCAGCAGUGGGGAAUAUUGGACAAUGGACCAAAAGUCUGAUCCAGCAAUUCUGUGUGCACGAUGAAGUUUUUCGGAAUGUAAAGUGCUUUCAGUUGGGAAGAAGUCAGUGACGGUACCAACAGAAGAAGCGACGGCUAAAUACGUGCCAGCAGCCGCGGUAAUACGUAUGUCGCAAGCGUUAUCCGGAUUUAUUGGGCGUAAAGCGCGUCUAGGCGGUUUAGUAAGUCUGAUGUGAAAAUGCGGGGCUCAACCCCGUAUUGCGUUGGAAACUGCUAAACUAGAGUACUGGAGAGGUAGGCGGAACUACAAGUGUAGAGGUGAAAUUCGUAGAUAUUUGUAGGAAUGCCGGUGGGGAAGCCAGCCUACUGGACAGAUACUGACGCUAAAGCGCGAAAGCGUGGGUAGCAAACAGGAUUAGAUACCUGGUAGUCCAGGCCGUAAACGACUGGAUCACUAGGUGUCGGGGGGUCGAAACC
rnacentral:rRNA from 1 species